rnacentral:rRNA from 1 species
CACGUAGGGUGCGAGCGUUGUCCGGAAUUAUUGGGCGUAAAGAGCUCGUAGGCGGUGUGUCGCGUCGGCCGUGAAAACCUGCAGCUUAACUGUGGGCGUGCGGUCGAUACGGGCAGACUUGAGGCAUGCAGGGGAGAACGGAAUUCCUGGUGUAGCGGUGAAAUGCGCAGAUAUCAGGAGGAACACCAAUUGCGAAGGCAGCUCGCUGGGACGUUACUGACGCUGAGACGCGAAAGCGUGGGGAGCAAACAGG